rnacentral:rRNA from 1 species
UACGUAGGCAGCGAGCGUUGUUCGGAAUUACUGGGCGUAAAGAGUGUGUAGGCGGUGCUCUAAGUUCGGUGUGAAAUCUCCCGGCUUAACUGGGAGGGUGCGCCGGAAACUGGAGUGCUCGAGCGUGGGAGAGGAAAGCGGAAUUCCUGGUGUAGCGGUGAAAUGCGUAGAUAUCGGGAGGAACACCUGUGGCGAAAGCGGCUCACUGGACCAUAACUGACGCUGAUGCACGAAAGCUGGGGGAGCAAACAGG